CCCUUAGAUGUUCUGGGCCGCACGCGCGCUACACUGAUGCAUUCAACGAGUUUCUUCCUGGUCCGAGAGGAAUGGGUAACCUUUUGAAAGUGCAUCGUGAUAGGGAUAGACUAUUGCAAUUAUUGGUCUUCAACGAGGAAUUCCUAGUAGACGUAGUUCAUCAGACUGCAUCGAUUACGUCCCUGCCCUUUGUACACACCGCCCGUCGCUCCUACCGAUUGAAUGCUCAGGUGAGCCCUUCGGACUUUCAUCAUGCUGGUUUCCAGUUUUGAUGAAGGAAAGUCUUGCGAACCUUAUCAUUUAGAGGAAGGAGAAGUCGUAACA
rnacentral:rRNA from 1 species